rnacentral:rRNA from 1 species
CCUACGGGAGGCAGCAGUGAGGAAUAUUGGUCAAUGGUCGGGAGACUGAACCAGCCAAGCCGCGUGAGGGAUGAAGGUACAGUGUAUCGUAAACCUCUUUUGUCAGGGAACAAAGGCGGGGACGUGUCCCCGGAUGAGUGUACCUGAAGAAAAAGCAUCGGCUAACUCCGUGCCAGCAGCCGCGGUAAUACGGAGGAUGCGAGCGUUAUCCGGAUUUAUUGGGUUUAAAGGGUGCGCAGGCGGUCUGUUAAGUCAGCGGUCAAAGCCCGGGGCUCAACCCCGGCCCGCCGUUGAAACUGGCAGGCUCGAGUUGGAGAGAAGUAUGCGGAAUGCGCGGUGUAGCGGUGAAAUGUAUAGAUAUCGCGCAGAACUCCGAUUGCGAAGGCAGCAUGCCGGCUCCACACUGACGCUGAGGCACGAAAGCGUGGGUAUCGAACAGGAUUAGAUACCCCUGUAGUC